rnacentral:rRNA from 2 species
GCAUAUCAAUAAGCGGAGGAAAAGAAACCAACAGGGAUUGCCUCAGUAGCGGCGAGUGAAGCGGCAAAAGCUCAAAUUUGAAAUCUGGCGUCUUUGGCGUCCGAGUUGUAAUUUGAAGAAGGUAUCUUUGGGCCCGGCUCUUGUCUAUGUUCCUUGGAACAGGACGUCACAGAGGGUGAGAAUCCCGUGCGAUGAGAUGACCCGGGUCUGUGUAAAGUUCCUUCGACGAGUCGAGUUGUUUGGGAAUGCAGCUCUAAGUGGGUGGUAAAUUCCAUCUAAAGCUAAAUAUUGGCGAGAGACCGAUAGCGAACAAGUACAGUGAUGGAAAGAUGAAAAGAACUUUGAAAAGAGAGUGAAAAAGUACGUGAAAUUGUUGAAAGGGAAGGGCUUGAGAUCAGACUUGGUAUUUUGCAUGUUGCUCUCUCGGGGGCGGCCGCUGCGGUUUACCGGGCCAGCAUCGGUUUGGAGCGGCAGGAUAAUGGCGGAGGAAUGUGGCACGGCUUCUGCUGUGUGUUAUAGCCUCUGACGAUACUGCCAGCCUAGACCGAGGACUGCGGUUUUUAACCUAGGAUGUUGGCAUAAUGAUCUUAAGUCGCCCGUCUUGAA